rnacentral:lncRNA from 1 species
GAGAGGAAUAAACACGUACUGCGCCGUGCUGCGUCGUAGGCCGGGCCUACUCAGAAUUGACGGGGAAUUACUGUACAAGAUAAAAAACAAUAUUUAACAGAUGAGGUCAGUUCUCCCAUCAUCCUCAUGGUAGCAUCAGCAUGAGAAGUCGGCAGAAUUCUUUUCGCUUGACGGGUUACUUGGGGUUUCUAGUGUGUGUGUGUGUGUGUGUGUGUGUGUGUGUGUGUGUGUGUGUGUGUGUGUGUGUGUGUGUGUGUAUACAUCUUGGGUUUAUACCCCUGCCAGUGCUGUGCCUUUGUUUUGACUUCAGGCUGCUUAUUUUGAUAUCUGGCCAGGAGGCCUGCUAAUUUUGAGAAGAAUUCAGUGGUAUAUUUGUAGAAUGGGAGCAGCUCUCUGCUCUCUUUCCUUUCCUAUUGGACUCUGAGAGACACCCAUUUUUCCCACUGGACUGUGAGAGACCCCAAUGUUUCCCACUGGACUUUGAAAGACCCCCAUGUUUCCCGCAGGACUGUGAGAGAUCCUCCUGUUUCGCCCAAGGUGGUUUGUGGCUUGACAAGGAGAAAGUCCAAGGAUGUAAAAAAAUAUAUAUAAAAAACAUUUGAAAAAGAAGAGAGAGAGAAUGAAAGAAAGAAAGAAAGAAAGAAAGAAAGAAAGAAAGAAAGAAAGAAAGAAAGAAAGAAAGAAAGAAAGAAAGAAAGAAAGAAAGAAAGAAAGAAAGAAAGAAAAUGAAAUAAAGAAAGAAAGGGGGACACAGAGUUGGAGUUAGAUACAAUUAUUACGAUAAUCAGGAUACAUUACAGAUACUUACCCUUUGUUAGCUAAUAACUCCAGAAGACCACAGAAAGCCUCAGAUGGCUACUGACCGUCGGCCAGAAGAGCGGGAAGAUAGGAUUGACACAAACUGACUGAAACCUUUACUGAAUUCAUGCCUGGUGUAGAGUGCAACCUGAAAACCACUCAGCGGAAUAAGUUCAUUACUCACUCAAUUGUUGGAAAGGCAUGGACUGCUGGAUGCUGAUUAAUAUGAAUCGAGUCAAAUUGCAUUUGAGAGAUGAAACAACGUGGGCGCUGGUCUACAAUUUAAAGAGUUGUCAAGUGGAGUUGAGAAUGACCUGAUAGCCUACCGACGCAGGAGAGAGGCUUAUGAGUGAAUCCUCCACUAGUGGAACUGCCUAAGAAAACUUCUGCUCAAUUGAGUUGGUGUGACAUCAUCACAGAUUCAGGCAAAACACACAGCACCACGUCUAGCGACAGAAUUGGAUAAGCAGGGUGCUAUUUCUUAUUCCAGAGACCACAUGGGGUCGAGUGUGUGUGUGUGUAUGUGCGCGUGUUCGUGUGUGUGUGUGCGUGUGCAUGUGUGUGUGACCCUGUGCAUGUAUGAGGAUCCAGUCAGAGCCUGAACCUAAUUGAGUUGGGUUAUUGAUAUGGGAGUUUAUUUAGAAUUGACGUGUUGGCUGACAACGUCACGAAAAUGAUGUGCUCCCAUCGAUGGGGGAGGAAGCAUUGCUUUGUUAUGAUUUUGAACGGUG